CUAGAACCCUACAUUCAAAUCCUAACCAUACUAUAUAGGCCUUAGACAAAUCAUUUAAUUUCCAUGGGUUUUGGUUUCAUCAUUCAUGUUGUUUGGAUACAAGAUCAAGUUUGUCAAGUCCCAAGAUAAAACUCAGGUUCUCCAAUUGCUGCAGAUAUUGGCAGUUUGUUCCCUGAGCGUGGAAUAAAGAAGUACCACAAUCAGCCACACUAAGCUAUCAACAAAAGCUAUCAGCAUACUAAGCUAUCAACAAAAAGUAUGGCAACAAGUAAAUCUGGCUAAUGAUAA